UUAGCGAGAGCUCGCUAGCAGAGGGAAGUGACAACUCUUUGACUAAAAGCUUCGCUAGCCUGACUAAAGUAAUGAGGUAGAUAGCCAAACACUUAACCAACCAAACCUUGUAUGGAACAGCCCGGCGUCGCCACAGUGAAAAUGGACCAGGAGUUUGAAGACAUAGACUCAGAGGGCCGGUGGCAAAAACUGUACUCAGAAAUCAGAAGUCAGUCCCAUGAGUGCUCCUACAAAGUGGCAAAGUAUCCAGAGAAUCGCAACCGGAACAGAUACAGAGAUGUCAGUCCAUUCGAUCACAGCCGGGUGAAGCUCGAAAACACAGAAAAUGACUACAUCAAUGCAAGUCUGGUGGUGAUGGAGGAAGCCCAGAGAAGUUACAUACUGACUCAGGGCCCCCUCAGGAACACCUGUGGUCACUUUUGGCUCAUGAUUUGGGAGCAGAGGACCAAGGCAGUCAUCAUGCUCAACAGAGUCAUAGAGAAAGGCUCGGAAAAGUGUGCGCAGUACUGGCCCACGGCUGAGGAGAGAGAGAUGGCUUUAAGAGACACACGCUUCCUGGUCACACUGUUGUCAGAAGACACCAAGUCUUACUACACCACCAGAGUGUUGGAGCUGCAGAAUAUUAAUACAGGGGAGAAGAGAGAGAUCUACCACUUUCAUUACACCACGUGGCCUGAUUUUGGUGUCCCCGAGUCCCCGGCGUCUUUUCUAAACUUCCUCUUCAAGGUGCGGGAGUCGGGAUCGUUGGGGGUGGAGCACGGACCCGCCGUGGUGCACUGCAGUGCUGGGAUCGGACGCUCAGGGACGUUUUCAUUAGUUGACACAUCCCUGGUCCUGAUGGACAAGAGGAAAGACCCCUCAUCAGUGGACAUAAAGAGCAUCCUGUUGAACAUGAGGAAGUACCGCAUGGGUCUGAUCCAGACUCCUGACCAGCUUCGCUUCUCCUACAUGGCGGUCCUUGAAGGAGCCAAGUUCAUCAUGGGAGACUCGUCUGUACAGAACCGAUGGCGGGAAUUAUCCAGGGAAGACCAGGAGCCGUCAUCAGAGUCUCCCCCCUCCGCUCAGCCUCAGCCCAGGUGUCCGACGGAGCGAUACAACGGCAGCCAACGAGCAGGUCAGCUGGAGGAGGGAGAAGACUACAGGCAGGACGCCAAAGUACCUGCACAGUCUCCCUGCAAGGAACCGGAGCUGGACGGCAGCACGACACAGUCAGUACACAAAAGACGCAGAGAAGACAGUAUCUCCAAAUCGGGGACCGCCAAGACACCCCAAAGCAAGUCCAGGACGAAUGACUCAGAGAAGAAGCGAAAAAGUUUGGGCUGCAUUUGCUGCACAUGACAAGAGGUGGCCUGUCCGGUGGGGGGCAGUGUAUCUUUACCCCCCUCUGAGACAGCGACAACAACAACGAGGAGCACAUUUAGAGGAGGAAGUUUACUCACAGCUUUUUAAAAGAGCGGCCUCUCUUGUUCAUAGAGGGCGAAAACCAGCGACUGCUAACCGCCUCCACCCGCGGCCACCCGACUACAGCUCUGGCAGCGAAGCCAACAUCGGCAGGGAACUCCAGCUCUCUCCCAAACUCUGUGUUCUUCUUCCUCAACUCCAAACCACUCUUCCUCACCUCAACAGCUAGCUCUCCUGUCGUCACUGUUUUUUGGGUUUUGUCUUUUUUUUUUUUCUCCCCUCAGCCAAGUAGCAUUAUUCAGCCACGGCUCACCUCCCCAUCCCGUCUCCUCCUCCUCCUCCUCCUCACAGCUUUACAUUUUCUCCUCUUCGUCUCUAAACUGUUUACAGUAAACACUUUGACAUUCUUUGAAGACAAACACACCAGCGCUUUCCUCCCCCAGGCCACACCUCAACCACUGACGGCGCUGCUUCCGGAGUCACAAUCAAAUUUGUUUAGUUUUUUUUUUUUUUAGUGCUAUUAUUUGCAGCUUUCUCAUUCUCCUCUGCUUCUUUGCAUUUAUAAAUUUAGGACUGAAAAUAGGGGCUAUGCAUUGCCAAUUUGUAAUGCUGUUCAUAUGUGUAUUUUUGGAAAACAUUUUUUUUCAGAGGCAACAAUAAAAAUGUUCUAUUUUUUAUAAGAAAUUACUUGAAGUUUUUCAGGUGAUGUGGGGCUGGUUAAAUGAAAAGCACUGCCUCCUCCCACAUAACAAAUUCAGUGGCAUGUAAUGUUUCCAUGAUGUACAUAGUGUUCUUUUUAAAAAGAUGUGUAUAAAAAGACAUAUUUUUGCUUGUAAAAAAAACUCCUUUAAAAAAAACAAUUCAAAAAGACAAAGGCUAAUGUUACAGAUCUGAGAACAGUGGAAAGCGGAUUUGAUGACUUGUUCUUCUUUUGAACUGAAUUUGUCUUAAGUUUCUUUCUUUAGAGUGUAAUCUACAAAUAAAACUGGUAUUAUCUAGUUUCCAUACAAA